ACUCUGCCUCAGGGAAGGCAAGAGGCAGCUGCAGAGACAGCAUCACAUGGACAUACCUAACGUGCUGACUUGUCUCCACAGCAUCAUUCACCCUCAGGGUCUCAGCUGUGUGGUAUCUGCAUCGUGUUGGAUCUGGACCCCGCCCCCUCCGUUUAAGGAUGGGGUCUCCUGGUCCUGCUCCACCGACCAGGACCGACCGUGAUCAAGCUUGUUGUUUCCCUCUUCCUUCCUAUUCGGGAACUUGAAACAGGGGGGAAAAGUUUCUUCUCUCUGAGCUCUUUCUCGGGUACACAAUGAACGGAAGAGCCCAGUCCUUUGGACUUUCGGUUUCACCUGCUUCCAGCCAGCAGUCUAGCAGGCCUGACUUCUGCAGCCAGCCGGCUAUAUAGACUUCCGCUUACCAGGCAUGUCCGCUGGCUUCCAGCUAUUGGAAAAGGUUCUCUCUCCAUCUUCUCAGACUGUAGACUGUACAUUGCUCUUUCUUUGAAGCAAUCUAAGCAACCACCCUGCAAUGGUAGCUGGUUGAGGCAUAGCCUGAAGGGGUCCCUGGGGUGUCAACCAAUGACACUUUGACAGAACUUCUAACAUCGGACAUUGAGCCUUUUAAAAUGGCUUAAGUCUUAGCUACAGGCAGUGCAAUGCGUCAUAAGACACCUCCUGAGCUUGAAGCCUGGAGCCUGAUAAAGCACAUUUAUUUCAACAUGGGCGAGGGUGGUGAUGUGACCCAUAGGUGUUGUAAGUCUCAUGGCUACACCAUGCUCGUCUCUCACCCCUCGAGAUCUGAGUCUGCUGUCCACAGUCAUCCAUAUCAUAGCCUCGGAUUUUGGUCGGAGGAUAGUGACCUAUCUAUGGAUAGUGGCUAAUUGCACAGGUACAACUUCUAUGACCUACCUCGCGUACCUAAAAGCAGGGGUGGGGAGCCAUGGUGGCCAUGGUUGGGACAAAGAGCUCGCUAAAGUGAUUAAAAAACCUUCCUGUCAGCUGUGUCCCUUUACAGCCGUACACAGCUCAAGCACUACAGACACUUUUAGGAGAGUAAUUUUAGAUUCUAAGAUGUUCCAAACACCAAAUAGGAAAGAUAUUUUUCUAACUUGGGCAUGUUAAACAGCUCAUAGCAGUCCAUCCAAAGGAGCUGGGACCAUUACCAGGGCAGAGUCAUUACACCAGACAGAAGUAUUUGCCAGGGACCUGGAACACAGCCUCCUGUCCCUGAGAGGCUGAGGAACCCCAGCCAGCUGGCGCCAACAUUUCCAGUCGUCUGCUUGUACUGCAGCCAUGUGGAUCCUUACUGAAAAGCCUGAGAUUUCUCAAAAAGAAAGGGGAAAAAAAAAAAAAACCCAACCAAAAAAAAA
rnacentral:lncRNA from 1 species